GCUGGCUGGCGUAGCGCCCAGCUGUAACCCUGCGUUUGGGGGGCUUGGACAUUGAACGGCCUAUUGUACGGGGUUAACUGGAGGGGUCCUACUGAUUUAGGUGGUGCCUUAGCAUGCGGAUUGUCAACAAGGGCUGAUCUGCGUAAGCGAUCGGUCCUGGUUGUUAGAGAGACGUCCACCAGGCCAGGCAGGAAACUGAGCAACCGAUAGCGUCCGCAGUCUUCAGUGCUAAGAUUACAACGCCGUUCGGAGGGCCUCACAGCCUGUAUGAGAAGCUGAACCUUGUCCUUU
rnacentral:SRP_RNA from 1 species